rnacentral:rRNA from 1 species
GUCCUUGCUGUAAACGAUGUAUACUUGGUGUAGUUGGUCUCAACCCCAACUGUACCGUAGCUAACGUGUUAAGUAUACCGCCUGAGGAGUACGCUCGCAAGGGUGAAACUUAAAAGAAUUGACGGGGGCCCGCACAAGCAGUGGAGCAUGUGGUUUAAUUCGAUGAUACGCGAAGAACCUUACCUAGGCUUGACAUGCAAUGGACAGUGGCAGAAAUGUCAUCUCCCGCAAGGGUCGUUGCACAGGUGCUGCAUGGCUGUCGU